GUUUGCCAGGAACAAUGCUACCCAUGACUCUUCCAGACAUAGUACAUUCUUUGUCAAUAACAGUCGUCAUCCUACUGUCCUACCAGCUGUUUUUUCUGACACAACUAUCCCUGCUUUGGAUGAUCACCUUGCUUCUAUUUGUGAGACUUGGACCAAAGUUCACUCCACUCUUGAGACUGCAGCUGCUCGUUUCAAGUUUCAUGCUGAUGAAUGGCGGGGUACCAAACCUGUUUACCAGGUGAGUGAGAAGGUGUCGUUAUCAUC